rnacentral:rRNA from 1 species
CACGCUGUAAACGAUGAAUACUAGGUAUCGGGGCAACUCGGUGCCGCAGUUAACACGAUAAGUAUUCCGCCUGUGGAGUAUGCACGCAAGUGUGAAACAUAAAGGAAUUGACGGGGGCCCGCACAAGCGGUGGAGUAUGUGGUUUAAUUCGACGCAACGCGAAGAACCUUACCAGGUCUUGACAUCCCGAUGACCGCUCUAGAGAUAGAGUUUUCCCUUCGGGGACAUUGGUGACAGGUGG